AGCUUGAGUACCAUGCCAAGUUUGGGCUCUGGGGCUACCCAGAAUAGAAAGUUCCUAUUAGGGCUGAUCCCAGGAGGUGUGGGGCUGAGACUUUUGAAGCUAACACUUUUCCAGCCCGUGGAAUUUUGAAUAUUCUCUAGUUUUCUAAUCAUCCUCUCCCUACAAAGAUCGAGAUUCACAGUCCCUUGCUGUUGUUCAGUCACUCAGUCGUGUCUAACUUUUUGUGACCCCAUGGACUGCAGCACACCAGGCUUCCCUGUCCUUCACCGUCUCCCAGAGUUUGCUGAAAUUCAUGUCCAUUGAGUUGGUGACGCCAUCCAACCAUUUCAUCUUCUUCUGGCUUCAGUCUUUCCCAGCAUCAGGGUCUUUUCCAAUGAGUCAGCCCUUCCCAUCAGGUGGCCAAAGUACUGGAGCUUCAGCUUCAUUAUCAGUCCUUCUGAUGAAUAUUCAGGACUGAUUUCCUUUGGAAUUGACUGGUUUGAUCUCCUUGCAAUCCAAGGGACUCUCAAGAGUUUUCUCCAAAGCCACAGUUUAAAAGCAUCGAUUCUUCGGUGCUCACCCUUCUUCAUGGUUCAACUCUCAUAUCCAUUCAUAACUAUUGGAAAAACCACAGCUUUGACUAUGCAGACCUUUGUCAGCAAAGUAAUGUCUCUGCUUUUUAAUAUGCUGUCUAGGUUUGUCAUAGCUUUUCUUCCAAGGAGCAAGUGUCUUAAUUUCAUGGCUGCAGUCCCCAUCUGCAGUGAUUUUGGAGCCCAAGAAAAUAAAGUCUCUCACUGAUUCCAUUGUUUCCCCAUCUAUUUACCAUGAAGUGAUGGGAUCAGAUGCCUUUUCUGAAUGUUGAAUUUUAAGCCAGCUUUUUCACUCUCCUCUUUCACUUUCAUCAAGAGGCUAUUCAGUUCCUCUUUGCUUUCUGCCAUAAGGGUGGUGUCAUCUGCAUAUCUGAGGUUAUUGAUAUUUCUCCUGGCAAUCUUGAUUCCAGCUUGUGCUUCAUCCAGCCUGGCAUUUCGCAUGAUGUACUCUGCAUAUAAGUUAAAUAAGCAGGGUGACAAUAUACGGCCUUGGUGUACUCCUUUCCCAAUUUGGAACCAGCUCGUUGUUCCAUGUCCAGUUCUGUUGCUUCUUGACCUGCAUAUAGAUUUCUCAGGAGGCAGGUCAGGUGGUCUGGUAUUUCCAAUCUCUUGAAGAAUUUUCCACAGUUUGUUGUGAUCCACACCGUCAAAGGUUUCAGCAUAGUCAAUGAAGCAGAAGUAGAUGUUUUUCUAGAAUUCUUUUAGUUUUUCUAUAAUCCAGGGGAUGUUGGCAAUUUGAUCUCUGGUUCCUCUGCCUUUUCUAAAUCAAGCUUGAACAUCUGGAAGUUCUCUGUUUAUGUACUGUUGAAGCCUAGCUUGAAGAAUUUUGAGCAUUUCUUUGCUAGCUAUGUGAAAUGAGUGCAAUUGUGUGGUAGUUUGAACAUUCUUAUGCCAUUGCCCUUCUUUGGGAUUGGAAUGAAAACCGAUCUUUUCCAGUCCUGUGGCUGCUGCUGAGUUUUCCAAAUUUGCUGGCAUAUUGAGUGCAGCACUUUCACAGCAUCAUCUUUUAGGAUUUGAAAUAGCUCAGCUGGAAUUCCUUCACCUCCACUAGCUUCGUUCGUAGUGAUGCUUCCUAAGGCCCACUUGACUUUGCACUCUAGGACAUCUGGCUCUAGGUGAGUGAUCACAUCAUCGUGGUUAUCUGGGUCAUGAAGAUCUUUUUUGUACAGUUCUUCUGCGUAUUCUUGCCACGUCUUCUGAAUAUCUUCUGCUUCUGUCAGGUCCAUACUGUUUCUGUUCUUUAAUGUGCCCACCUUUGCAUGAAAUCUUUCCUUGGUAUCUCUAAUUUUCCUGAAGAGAUCGCUAGUCUUUCUCAUUCCAUUGUUUUCCUGUAUUUUUUUUCAUUGUUCGCUUAGGAAGCCUUUCUUAAACUCUCCUUGCUAUUCUUUGGAACUAUGUAUUCAGAUGGAUGUAUCUUUCCCUUUCUCCUUUACCUUUUGUUUGUCUUCUUUUCUCAGCCCUUUGUAAGGCCUCAUCAGGCAACCAUUUUGACUUUUUUCAUUUCUUUUUCUUGGGGAUGGUUUUGAUCACUGCUUCCUGUACAAUGUUAUGACCCUCCAUCCAUAGUUCUUCAGGCACUUUGUCUAUCAAAUCUAAAAGAUCACAGUCCCUAAAAGACCUUAUUGCUCAUGCCCUAAGUCAUGCCUGACUCUGCAACCUCAUGGGCUGUGUAGCCCACCAUGCUUCUGUCUAUGGGAUUCCUUAGGCAAGGCUACUGGACAGGGUCCCAUUACCUCCUCCACGGGAUCUUCCCAACUCAGGGACAGAAUCUGUGUCUCCAGCAUCUGCAGGCCAAUUCUCUACCACUGGGCCACCUGGGAAGCCCCAAAAGUCCUUAUUACCAGCCUGUUAUAAGGCAGUCAUGGAACCUGGAUGCUCUCAAGCAGCAGGCUGAAGGAAAGAGUCCUUGCCCACUCUGAAGAGCCUUUAGAGAACUCAGUGAUGGGCAUGAACCCCUUCUUAGAUACAAGACCUUAAAUGCUGCCAAGAUGUGGCAAGAUGGACUCUGCUGAGUCUCUGAGACAAGAUUUUCCACAGUUCCUUCUCUGCUCAGACCCCUCAGGUCAACCAGGAGGCCCACUAUCAAGGGACAAGCCUUCUUUAUUCCCCACUUACUUUCUGGCUCAUAGUUAAUCAAUAUAAUAGUAGGAGCCCCAAGAGAUGGUGGGAGGUCUUGCUAGUCUUUCCUGCAAUUAACAUUUCCUCAGUGUGGUUUUGAUCAGCAGUGGCCUCCUUUGUUAAAGGGUACCCAAGGGGCUCUGUGCCUCACCUACUUACAGAAUGAUGCAGAGCUCAGGAGGAACCCAGAAUAAGAUGAAGCCUUGCCAUUCAGGAAGCUUAAGAACAUCUGAGUGCUCCUCUCCCUCCUCCUGCUGGUUCACUAUCAAGAAUAAGAACAGCUGAUAUUUACUGAAUAUUGACAAGCCUCAGGUGCUGUGCUAACUGAUACAUCUGCUCCCACUGACGUUCUCAUAUAAACUCAUGGAUGAAAGUGUUCCUGAUACAGUGGGACACAAGACAUAGAAGUCUGCAACAGGGAAAGGAAGCCCAUGGUGGCUUGUUGGUCAGGCAAGGGCUAUAUAAGUUCAUAAGAACUCAGGGUGGGUGUAAGUCUUACUGAGAGGAGAAUGUGGGCUGCUAAAGGCCUCUUUCACCUUUUGAACUGUGAGUGCCGUGGUGGCAAGCAGGAUCCAGAUCUCUGAAUCUGCUGAGCCUAGAAUAUGGUUUUUCCAGUAGUCAUAUAUGGAUGUGAGAGUUGGACCAUAAAGGCUGAGUGCCGAAGAAUUGAUGCUUUUGAGCUGUGGUGUUGGAGAAGACUCUUGAGAGUCCCUUGGACAGCAAGGAGAUACAACCAGUCAGUCUUUAAGAAAAUCAACCCUGAGUAUUGAAGGACUGAUGCUAAAGCUUCAAUACUUUGGCCAUCUGAUGUGAAGAGCUGACUCAUUGGAAAAGACCCUGAUGCUGGGAAAGACUGAAGGCAGGAGGAGAAGGGGACAACAGAGGAUGAGAUGGUGGGAUGGCAUCACCAACUCAAUGGACAUGGGUUUGAGCAAACAAACUCCAGGUGACAGUGAAGGAUGGGGAAGCCUGGCAUGCUGCAGUCCAUGGGAUCCCAAAGAGUCAAACGUAACAGUGCAACUAAACAACGAAGUAUAUGGCCUCCCAGACCCUCCACAAUGUUGAUGAGGCUGUGGGGACUGGGUAAGUUAUAACUUUCUUCUGUUCUCUAUUAGAGAAUGAGGUCAUUGAAAAUCAAGACCUGGAUGAGGAGUAGAUGGUCAUCCUUGCCCCCAAGGAAUCACUGAGGGACUCUCACAAUGUCCAAGGAGAACUCUGAACAUCUGGCCCAGUGGAAAGGAGGAGACUUGAGUCUUGCCCCUCGGCUCCAGGGAGUCAAAUGCAGAUAAUCUUCUUAUACCCAGACUCUUGAGGUCCAGACUUGUGCUAAGUAUUGACGGGGACCCUUUCUCCUUACCUGGGAACCUCCACUUUUAGGACUGGGAGCUGAGAGAAAAGGGUUUAUGGGCUUUGAACUGAAGGGAAAGAUCCAGAGAAGAUCCCAGGCCUGUCCCUUGCUUGGCAGGGUCAAUGAGAAUAGUUCCUUUGACUUUCAGUAGGGCAAGAAGAGGGAAGGUAGAUUUUACCCAGCAUCUCUCAAGAGGAGUACCUGUGUAUGUAUGUGAAACGGUCUAAGAACAACUCCACUAGCUUCAGAACAGGAAGAAUCUACCCAGGAAAGAAAGUCAUAUGGUGGAGAUGCCAUCCCACACUGGGCCACGAGAAGAUGCUUCCCAAGUCACUUUUCUGAUGCUUCCGUGGGCCUGUCAGUGGCCAUAGGUAUAAUAAUAAAGAUAACAAUAAAAAUAACAGUAAUGGAUCAUUUGCCAUGUACCAAAACCUUUGCAAAUAACUCAGUAAACUAUAAUAACUCUUUGUGGUGAAUACUAUUAUUACUCUCAUUUGGUCCCAUCACUUCAUGGCAAAUAGAUGGGGAAACAAUGCAAACAGAGACUUUAUUUUCUCGGGCUCCAAAAUCACGGCAGAUGGUGACUGCAGCCAUGAAAUUAAAAGACGCUUACUCCUUGGAAGGAAAGUUAUGACCAACCUAGAUAGCAUAUUCAAAAGCAGAGACAUUACUUUGCCAACAAAGGUCCAUCUAGUCAAAGCUAUGGUUUUUCCAGUAGUCGUGCAUGGAUGUGAGAGUUGGACUAUGAAGAAAGAUGAGCUCUGAAGAAUUGCUGCUUUUGAAUUGUGGUGUUGGAGAAGACUCUAGAGAGUCCCUUGGACUGCAAGGAGAUCCAAUCAGUCCAUCCUAAAGGAAAUAGGUCCUGAAUAUUCAUUGGAAGGACUGAUGCUGAAGCUGAAACUCCAAUACUGGCCACCUGAUGCAAAGAACUGACUCAUAGGAAAAGACCCUGGUGCUGGGAAAGAUUGAAGGCAAGAGGAGAAGGGGAUGACAGAGGAUGAGAUGGUUGGAUGUCAUCACUGAAUCGAUGGACAUGAGUUUGAGUAAGCUCCAGGAGUUGGUGAUUGACAGGGAAGCCUGGUGUGUUGUGCAGUCCAUGGGGUCACAGAGAGUCAGAUAUGAAUGAGCGACUGAUGUGUCAAGAAACCAAAACUUGGAAAGUUUAAAUAACUUAUGAAAAGUCAUAUAAUCAAUGAAAUACAGGUGCCAAGAUAUAUUUGAACCCAGGUCUGUUUGGCUGCAAACCCUGAACUAUUCGCUGUUAUACUCAUGACAUAUGAGAGUCUAGCCUACCAGAGCCCUAUGUCUACCUCCACAGUUGAGUGAGGUGAGACAGAGAGGAAGGCAUGGUUUAAAAAAAAGCGUUAGCAUCUUCUGUGCACACUCAUAUGUGCAGACUCAUGUAUCAUGUAUGUAGAAGAGUGUGUGUUUAGAUAAGCUACUUCUUUCAUUCUCCAUACAUUAGACAUUAUAAUGUGAACACUCCCACUUUGGGGGGCUUCCCAGGUGGUGCAAUGGUAAAGAAUCCACCUGCCAAUGGAGGAGAAGCAGGUUCUAUCCCUGGGUCGAGAAGAUCCCCUGGAAAAGGAAAUGGCAACCCACUCCAGUAUUCUUGCCUGGAAAAUUCCAUGGACAGAGGAGCCUGGUGGGCUGGAGUCCAUGGGGUCGCAGACAGCUGGUUUCAAGCACGCACACACUCCCACUUUUUAGGUGAAGUAUGCAGGUCACAAAGAAGCUAAAUAAUUUGUCUAAGAUCAUACAUCCACUCGAUUUCUUGAAUCUAUGUGGUUUGAUGCCAAAUCCAUGGCUCUUUCACUAUAACAUACUGUCACAAUAAUCAGAUGUACUCAGAGUCAGCUAGCAUUUAUUACACGCCCACCACAGGUUAAGCACUGUGCUAGGCUCUUUCACAAACAGCAGAUGGUUAUUCAUUGAUUGGUCUUCCAGUUCACUAAGCUGGGCUGCAGCUGCAGCAGCCUCCUAGUCAAGGUUAUAUGAAAGAAUAAAUCAGAGUAAUUCCUUUUCUUCUUCUUUCUAGGUAUUCUCAGUAGCUAAGUCCAAGCUAAAUAUUUCACAAAAGGGUGCUGUUGUCACCUGAAGGACCAGGGGAAAAAAGGAAAACUAGAUUAAGGUUGAAAAACUCAAGUCUCAAAGUCCCCGAUCCAAUGAUGGUGGGUCAGUAGUGUCUUCGUUCUCUUUGCUGGAUGCAUUCCUAAUGCCAUCCUAUUUCCAUUCUAGUCCACCUCACAUUUCUGAGGUGCCCUCUAGCUUUGCUCCUUCAAGGUAAAGAAGCAGGGAGGCAGUUGAUGAUGGAAGGAAGGAAAAAUUCCCUUGCUUCUAGAGCUCAUCAGGAAUUUAGGUCUGUCUUCCUCUUGACCCUUUGAGCCUCGAACUCUAAUUCUCCCAUGUCAACAUCAAUUGAAUGUAUUACCAAAGUCAUUGCUGAGAACCUGUCACACUAGCCCAAGAGAUCCCUGAGGAGACUUUGGAGCAGUGGUGAGGUAAGUAAUAAUUGAUCAAGUAGUAGAUAAUAGCAAAAUUUCUCAUGAAGCAAAGCUAAGUAUUUUUUCAUUUGAUUGUAGAUGGUGAACGACUGAAGUGACUUAGCAGCAGCAGCAGCAGCAGCAAGUACGUAUCAGGCAGAAGAUCUGCUUGAUGGAGCCAAGCUCGAAAGUGGUGGGUGGGACUUGGAUAGAUGCUUCAUUUCCAAAGCCUGGGCUGUAACCCAAGGCUUCAGCAGAUUAGGGAGAUAUCAACAGAUGAAUUCUGUCUUCAAAGCUGUGACACUGCAGAGUGAGACUUGGUUAGAGAAGGAGGAAACCCCAGUGGAGGAAAGAUGGAAUCUAGUGAAGUUUUGUUGUUGUUGUUGCUGUUUUUGCUGCAGAUGGAUUAUUUGCUUGAGGACGGAAAACUAGCAACAGUGUUCUCAGUCUAGGAUCUGGGUGACUUCUUGCCUAGGCUGGCUUCACGGGUGUGCAAUUUGUAUAGAUACACAUGGCCCUGUGCUCAGCAGGGCCAUGUGCUUGGUUUAAUCCUCUGCUGUCAUUGUCCUGAAAUUCUUAAUAAUUGUAUCUUUGAACUUGUGCUUUGUAAGCAGUCUGUUGUGGGACAACGGGGAAUGCAUGAGUAGAGAAGACACGCACCAUAUAUGUAUUCACCAUUCCUCGCUGCCCCCAUGAGGUUGGCAGUUCCCCCAAGAGCACAGAAUUCCAGUGGGAGCCCAGUGAGACGCAAAGUCAGUCAAAGGUGGGCAUCCGUUUGCAGUAACAGCGGUCUCCAACGUCGAGUGCAGGGAGAACUGACACUCCUGAAUGAAUAUGAGGAAACCCCAGGCAAAUUCAGGUUCACCACAUAUACUCAGGGACGUCAGAUCCACCCCUAAACCAGAAGUGGUAUUUCUCCGUUGGCGUCUUCAUGCAGUGACAGAGAAGACAAACACCUGUUGACUUAAAGAACAGAGGAUCUUCGACUUCCUUCUGAAAGGAGCUGUGGUGGAGGGACUCCCCACCCCCACCCCCCUCAGAAGAGACCUGUGUUCCACCUCCCAGAAGUGGCUGCUCAUCAGAGUGGAGGUGAUUCAGCUUUCCUAGAAGAUCAUUUGCAGGGGAAAACACAGUACUACUGCUCAGAGUGCUGCCUGCUUCCAGAGAUUUAAAAAAAAAAAAAAAUCACCAAAAAAACCCUGCUCUCAGACACAUGGAAUUCCCAUUGACGAGGUCUGACCAACACCAGGCGCUGAAUUUUUCCCAUUAAACUUAAAGCUCAGGAUGAAAGACGUGGGGGUGGGAGAAGGGGUCCGAUGUGGCCUUUUCAGCUCUCUGGAGGAUCUGAACUCUGCUCACCACCCCCCAAGGUCAAACGGCUGAUGUGCAAAAGUCCCCUCUGUCUGUCCCUCCACUUCCCCUGCCCAAGCUCUCCCUCCUCACGAAGAAGGACGCUCUUUGCCACAACACAAUGAAGCCCCGGUGGAUUUACCCAGAUUAGAGAACCC
ensembl:lncRNA